rnacentral:rRNA from 1 species
GUGCAGCAGGCGCGAAUUUUUCUCAAUGGGCGAAAGCCUGAAGGAGCGACGCCGCGUGGGGGAUGAAUGGCUUCGGCCCGUAAACCCCUGUCAUUUGUGAACAAAUUGUUUCACCUAACACAUGAAGCAUUGAUAGUAACGGAAGAGGAAGGGACGGCUAACUCUGUGCCAGCAGCCGCGGUAAUACAGAGGUCCCAAGCGUUGUUCGGAUUCACUGGGCGUAAAGGGCGCGUAGGCGGUUGGGUAAGUCUGACGUGAAAUCUCCGGGCCUAACCCGAAAACUGCGUUGGAUACUAUCCGGCUAGAGGAAUGGAGGGGAGACUGGAAUACUUGGUGUAGCAGUGAAAUGCGUAGAUAUCAAGUGGAACACCAGUGGCGAAGGCGAGUCUCUGGACAUUUCCUGACGCUGAGGCACGAAAGCCAGGGGAGCAAACGGGAUUAGAUACCCCUGUAGU